rnacentral:rRNA from 1 species
UACAUAGGGGGCAAGCGUUGUCCGGAAUGACUGGGUGUAAAGGGUGUGUAGGUGGCUUUUUAAGUUAAAAGUGAAAGCCCGGGGCUCAACUCCGGAACUGCUUUUAAUACUGGAUGGCUUGAGUGUGGGAGAGGUUAGUGGAACUCCUAGUGUAGCGGUGGAAUGCGUAGAUAUUAGGAAGAACAUCAGAGGCGAAGGCGACUAACUGGAACAUUACUGACACUGAAACACGAAAGCGUGGGGAGCAAAC